GAUGAACGCUGGCGGCGUGCCUAAUACAUGCAAGUCGAGCGAACGGACGAGAAGCUUGCUUCUCUGAUGUUAGCGGCGGACGGGUGAGUAACACGUGGAUAACCUACCUAUAAGACUGGGAUAACUUCGGGAAACCGUAGCUAAUACCGGAUAAUAUUUUGAACCGCAUGGUUCGAAAGUGAAAGACGGUCUUGCUGUCACUUAUAGAUGGAUCCGCGCUGCAUUAGCUAGUUGGUAAGGUAACGGCUUACCAAGGCAACGAUGCAUAGCCGACCUGAGAGGGUGAUCGGCCACACUGGAACUGAGACACGGUCCAGACUCCUACGGGAGGCAGCAGUAGGGAAUCUUCCGCAAUGGGCGAAAGCCUGACGGAGCAACGCCGCGUGAGUGAUGAAGGUCUUCGGAUCGUAAAACUCUGUUAUUAGGGAAGAACAUAUGUGUAAGUAACUGUGCACAUCUUGACGGUACCUAAUCAGAAAGCCACGGCUAACUACGUG
rnacentral:rRNA from 1 species